UACGGGGGGGGGCAAGCGUUGUUCGGAAUUACUGGGCGUAAAGGGCGCGUAGGCGGUCAGAUAAGUCAGCUGUGAAAACCUCGGGCUUAACCCGAGGCCUGCAGUUGAAACUGUUUGGCUGGAGUGUGGGAGAGGAGAGUGGAAUUCCUGGUGUAGCGGUGAAAUGCGUAGAGAUGUGGAGGAACACCGAUGGCGAAGGCAGCCUCCUGGGCCAACACUGACGCUCAUGCACGAAAGCGUGGGGAGCAAACAGG
rnacentral:rRNA from 1 species